rnacentral:rRNA from 1 species
UACCAGCUCUUCGAGUGGUGUGGAUGUUUAUUGGGCCUAAAGCAUCCGUAGCUGGCUGGGCAAGUCCCCUGUUAAAUCCACCGAUUUAAUCGUUGGAGUGCGGGGGAUACUGUUCGGCUAGGGGACGGGAGAGGCAGACGGUAUUUUCGGGGUAGGGGUGAAAUCCUAUAAUCCCGGGAGGACCACCAGUGGCGAAGGCUGUCGACUAGAACGCGCUCGACGGUGAGGGACGAAAGCUGGGGGAGCGAACCGGAUUAGAUACCCGGGUAGUCCCAGCUGUAAACGAUGCAGGCUAGGUGUUUGGACGGCUACGUGCCGUUCUAGUGCCGCAGGGAAGCCGUUAAGCCUGCCGCCUGGGGAGUACGGCCGCAAGGCUGAAACUUAAAGGAAUUGGCGGGGAGCACCACAAGGGGUGAAGCUUGCGGUUU